CUUCGUUUUCUUAGUUGGAAUUGAUAUAGAAGUGUGUGGACAAUC
rnacentral:snoRNA from 1 species